rnacentral:rRNA from 1 species
UACGAAGGGGGCUAGCGUUGCUCGGAAUCACUGGGCGUAAAGCGCACGUAGGCGGCUUGUUAAGUCAGGGGUGAAAUCCUGGAGCUCAACUCCAGAACUGCCUUUGAUACUGGCGACCUUGAGUUCGGGAGAGGUGAGUGGAACUGCGAGUGUAGAGGUGAAAAUUCGUAGAUAUUCGCAAGAACACCAGUGGCGAAGGCGGCUCACUGGCCCGAUACUGACGCUGAGGCACGAAAGCGUGGGGAGCAAACAGGG